AGAACGAACGCUGGCGGCGUGGAUAAGACAUGCAAGUCGAACGCGAUUUAUCGAGUUAGCAAUAACUUGGUAAAUUGAGUGGCGAAAGGGUGCGUAACACGUGGGAAUUUACCGAGAAGUGGGGGAAUAGCUUGACGAAAGUCAAAUUAAUACCGCAUGUGAUCGAAAGAUCAAAGCCGGGGACCGCAAGGCCUGGCGCUUUUUGAGAAGCCCGCGGCCCAUCAGCUAGUUGGCGGGGUAAAAGCCCACCAAGGCUAUGACGGGUAGCUGGUCUGAGAGGACGACCAGCCACACUGGAACUGAGACACGGUCCAGACACCUACGGGUGGCAGCAGUCGAGAAUUUUUCACAAU
rnacentral:rRNA from 1 species